rnacentral:lncRNA from 1 species
UUGGGGGCAAGCGGUGUCUGAAGAGGAGGGGAAUGUGAGCAACGCUUCCCAGAAGGACACUACGGAGAAGAAGAAGGAUACAACCACUGAGAACACAGCUUCAGAAGGAAGGGCGCGUCGCGUGAGGAAAGCCAGCAUUCGCAUAUCCGGUCCAGAAUGGGCCGUGUAACAUGGCCGUAUUUGGGCCGCGUCUGUAAGACUGCCUCCAACAAGGAUCGGUAUAUGGUUCUGUCCUCUAUAUUUAGCGUCUUCACUCGUUUGAAGGCGCCCAACAACGACCGCUAUUUCAUCCACUAAAAGAUAGAGGGUGUCCUUUGGCCGCUACAUUUAGUGUCUUCCUGUGCAUCCGCUAUCACAGCGGCCGCCGCUGCCGAGGAGGAACGUGCACCAGAUCACAAGGUGGAGGCCGCACGCGCCAUAUCACCGGAAAAGGAAGGAGGUCGUGCGGCCGCCGAUGAGGAGA